UACGAAGGGUGCAAGCGUUAAUCGGAAUUACUGGGCGUAAAGCGCGCGUAGGUGGUUCAGCAAGUUGGAUGUGAAAUCCCCGGGCUCAACCUGGGAACUGCAUCCAAAACUACUGAGCUAGAGUACGGUAGAGGGUGGUGGAAUUUCCUGUGUAGCGGUGGAAAUGCGUAGAUAUAGGAAGGAACACCAGUGGCGAAGGCGACCACCUGGACUGAUACUGACACUGAGGUGCGAAAGCGUGGGGAGCAAACAGG
rnacentral:rRNA from 1 species